CGCUUUCCCCUCUUUUCGUGCUUUUUCCACAGCUCUCUCCUUUCUCUGUCUGCUUUCGAGAGGUCUUCAGCAAAAAGCAGGUUGUCGCGUAGGAAGGUAGAUUUCUUGGCUGCUUUCCAUGUGGCAUCCAUGUAGAUCUGUGAUGUGAACUGGAGAAUGACACCUCGGGGCUUUGAGUCACCCUGCCUUUUCGUGCCGAGGCGAUGUACAGUGUCGACAACAUCUGCUAGCUUAGCCUUCUCCUCAGGUAGGAUAGCUUGGCAGACUGAUGGUUUCUUGCCCCACGUUCUCCCCAUCUGCCUUGGGAACUCCAUACAGUCUCAGAUUCCACCGGCUGGAGUAGCUUUCGAGUUCCGCGAUUCUUCAUUGGCACAAGUCCAUCUUUCCCUCCUCAUUUUCGACACGCUUUUCGAUGUGGGUGACCUUCUUAACAUCCUUGAUUUCCAUGCAUGCAGUCAGUUUUUUUUUAAGCCCUCGAUUUUCAUUGCGUUGUCGCCGACCAUUUUCUUUAUGGCAUCGGACCUUGCAUUGAUGAGCCUGGAAAGAGUGGCGAUAACAUAAUUAUUGGCAGCGGCAUCUGGGCCUAGUUCAAACAUGCCUUUCUUGGAAGCUGGAGGUUUGCUUGGGAUUAUAGGCAAAGAAGGAAAAUCCUCGUCUGACACGGACCUGAGCCCUAGGACCAUGCCUCAGGACUACCUGGCAUGAUGACUCCUUGCUGUCCCCAGUUCACCUGGCCGUGCUGCUGCUCCAGUUUCAACUGUUCUGUCUAUGGAACCCUGACCUCACCGGACGUGCUACCUGUCCCAGACCUUCUGUUUUCAACUCUCUAGAGACCGCAGGAACGGUAGAGAUACUCUUAAUGAUCGGCUAUGAAAAGCCAACUGACAUUUACUCCUGAGGUGCUGACUUGCUGCACCCUCGACAACUACUGUGAUUAUUAUUAUUUGAUCUUGCUGGUCAUUUAUGAACAUUUGAACAUCUUGGCCAUGUUCUGUUAUAAUCUCCACCCGGCACAGCCAGAAGAGGACUGGCCACCCCUCAUAGCCUGGUUCCUCUCUAGGUUUCUAGGGAGUUUUUCCUAGCCACCGUGCUUCUACACCUGCAUUGCUUGCUGUUUGGGGUUUUAGGCUGGGUUUCUGUACAGCACUUUGAGAUAUCAGCUGAUGUAAGAAGGGCUAUAUAAAUACAUUUGAUUUGAACUACACAUUUUAGAGUGGCCUUUUAUUGUCCCCAGCACAAGGUGCACCUGUGUAAUGAUCAUGCUGUUUAAUCGGCUUCUUGAUAUGCCCCACCUGUCAGGUGGAUGGAGUAUCAUGGUACAGGAGACAUUUUCACUAACAAGGAUGUAAACAAAUUUGUUUAACAACAUUUGAAAGAAAUAAGCUUUUUAUUUCAGUUCUGAAACAUGGGACCAACACUUUACAUGUUGCAUUUACAUUUUUGUUCAGUGUAUAUAUAUUUUGUGUAUAAUGUGUGUAUUUAUGAUGUAUUAUGCAGGGUGCAUUUGAAAAAUAGACCAUAUGUCUUCCCUAUUAAAAUAAAGGUUAAAUUUAAAAAUUUAAAAAAUGUAGCAAUUAAGCCAUUCAUUUCCUUGUUGACCAAAUUCAAUACUCAUUGAAAGCCAAGCAAAAAUUCCUUGCUUGGUGGGCGAAACCCCACAAAAAAGCCACCUGCUGGAGGGAGACAGAUUUUCUACUGAGUUGGGCCUCCCUCUUCCUCUCUGACCAGGCGCACAGUACUAUAUAGAGCCAUGACUACAUGGAACUCCAUGUAUUCCACAUCAAGUAACACAUGCAAGCAGUAAAGUUUGAUUUUAAAAAACAGAUAAGAAUGCAUCUUAUGGAACAGCGGAGACUGAAGCAACAAACAGGCAGACACAUGUACACAUACACAUGUACACAUGGAUUUUGUGUUGUAGAUAUGUGAUAGUAGAGUAGGGACCUGAGGGCAUACACUUAAUAUGUUGUGAAAUCUGUUGUGAAUGUAUUGUAAUGUUUAUAAAAAUGUAUAACUGCCUUAAUUUUGCUGGACCCCUGGAAGAGCAGCUGCUGCCUAAUGGGGAUCCAUAAUAAAUACAAAUGCAAAACC